ensembl:lncRNA
CUCUGAAACAGCCUGAGUGUAGGCUGCAAUAAAUGAAAAACAGUGAACUUUUGACAUUUCUUUUUCUUUUUUCAGUAUUUCAUCCUGUUUCCUGACUUGCAGGUGUGGAUUGACUUGCCCUCCAGUGAGACUCCUUGGUUUCUGCUUCCUAACACGUCGUCUUCCAGAGGAGUGUUGACACAGGACUCUGGUUUGCCAUUCAUCCAAUGCAGAUCCCAACAUUAUUCUGUAGACUUAUGAUUUGAGUUCAAAAGUGUGGCUUGUUGCAUUGCUAGGGUCUGUAGUACACUCUUCUCUCCAUGCUUACCCAAAUAACUCAGGUCAAAACUUAACUUCCUUCUGCUUGGAUCUUAGGAACCUGAUACUCAUCAGAAAGACCACAGAGAAGACUGAAAGGAGGUCAUUCCUCUCAUCUCCUCAGCCUGCUGGUGCAGAUUUCCAACGUGCCCACAUUAUGGGAGUUUCUGUUUGUAUCCCACAGUAUGUUUGGCCUGAAGACCAUUGUGGAAAUAUGAGAUGACUUUUUAGACCUUUCUUCUAGCCUGAAGAAAGACGUUCUACUUAGGAUUAUCUUGCAAUCCAAUAAAUAAUAGCAGCUGGUCAGAAACCUGGUCUGUGAACACUGUUGGGAACACUGUUGUGUUUGUUUAAUUAUUUGUAAUAAUUUUAUUUUUGCAGGGAUAUGCUAAGUCUUUUCAAGUGCAAAAGGGAAAGAUGAAAAAAAGAAAAAAAAAAAAGAAAGUUUUGAUUUGAAAGGCCAAGUACAGAUCUUUGUGCUGACUUUCAUAUACUCUAGGACCUGCCCUUCUCUUUUUAUGCAUGAUCACAUACGCUCCAAACAUCUAAGAAGCUUCUGUUGGUGUUGGGGGUUAAAAUUCCUAGGAUUAGAAGCAGAGGUUUUGGAGUCAAGGGCCCCCACCUCUGGAAUUAGUUUUCCUUGGUUUCCUGCCAGUGUCCAUCCAGUAAGCUUCAGAACACAUGGGGAAAUGUUUAUAUUUGGGUUAGCUUCUCUCUAUUUUUAGAUGGUUUGGUUUUGCUUUGAAUUUUACUCUACAGAUGUGAAGAUGGUAGAUUGGCUAUUGUUAUUUUCUAAGAGAAUGAUUUAGCACUACCCAUUACGAGAAGGCUCCCGUGUCCUUUAUCAGUAAUCUUGUAAGAACAUGCUGCAGCCUGUGAAUGAAUAUUUGCAUUCUUACUUCCACAUCAUCAUUUUCCAACAUGUGCUACCGGGAUUACGUUGAGCCGAGCUGGAAAAGCUCCCAAGCCCAGAAUGUUGUACCCUGUGCGUGUUGUUGGCCCUGUUGUUUGGAGGGAACAGGACUGCAUGGACUGACAGGGGUUGGGUGAUUUGCUACCUACAUGUGCUCCUGCUUCGCACUGCAAGCAUCAUCUUUGUCAUACAGCAGGAUGUUUAAAUCUUUGUACCCCAAAAUGUGGACGAUCUUUAAAUGAUUAUAAAUAAAUGAUUGUAAGUAGUAUUUGGUUAUAAA